CACAACACCCCGCACAACGUGUUCUUGUUUCUGCUUCUCUCCCGAAAGAAACAGGAGCUUCGAGUACCCUCCCAAAUUCUCGCCGCCGACCUCUCCCCUCUCUUCCCCGGUGAACGCGGGAUUUGAGUUGGGCAAGGAUCCCUACUCUUGUACAGUUGUGCUUGUAAUUAGGGUCUGAAUCAAUUGGAUUUGGCUUCAAGAUUUCGUCGGUGUAUUUCCUUCAGAUCUGGCCGUGCAGGCCGCCGGAGACGGAGAUGAUAGUGACGGCCCUUUUUUCUAUGCUGCCCAUGGAGGAUUAGAGGCUACCAGCGGCAGGACUGGCAUUAGUAGGCCCAGGUGUUGCGGGCGCGGAGGAUUUCUGACGGUGGUGAGCUACUCGUUCUCGGCGGCGCCCAGUGCCAAACUGAACAAUUGAACAUAGAAGACGAGUAAUUUCAGGAUAGAGGGCAGCCUCGCAGGUUGGCGCUGUUGCCAGGGACAGCAAGGGCCACGUUUUCGUCUCUGUAUGCAAAAUCUUCCAUCGCCGGACUGCAGUCUCUUGCAAAAUACUACAUCGGGCCUUUGAUCCUGGAGAUGGAUUGCCAUGCAAUCACAAAAGAGCUAGCUGCGGGAGACCAAUCCAGAUCACAAUGCUAUGCCCUGAUCAAGGAUAUUAAACAAGCACUCUCAGUUUUUUCAGCUUACAGUGUCAGCCAUGUGGUAAGAACUUGCAAUGCUCAUGCUCAUGAGCUUGCAGCGGCUACCAGAAAUGUCAAUGACUAGGAGAUCAUCGCAUACGUCCUGGAUAAACUCCAUCCACUGAUGAUGUCUGAAUUUGUAUCUCCUGUAGAGUAGUUUCCUACUCAAAAAAGGGCAGCCUCGCAGAGGUGUCACUGACGAUGAAGGUGAGGCCAUCGAGUCUAUUAUUGUGUUAGUUUGUUUCAAAGAAAUCAUGCUAAUUUCUCUCAAUAUAGAAAUUAGUCAUGGAGCAGGCUUUAGGGAAGACUAUCGAUCUAUAACUGGUCGUAUGUCCAUGAACAAUUUUCUGUUGCUCUGACUGCACGGAGAGCCUCUGUAAUUUAGCCAAACAUCAUGGCACCGUGCCAUUACUUAGCUUUUUACACACAAUUCUUGUUUCUUUCGGUGGUGCCACACUGCCAAUAGAAGACAAGUUGACCUGAUGAACAACGCC